rnacentral:rRNA from 1 species
GACCUGCCCACUGAGGAAUUAAAUGGCCGCGGUAUUUUGACCGUGCAAAGGUAGCAUAAUAAUUAGUUUUUUAAUUGAAAGCUGGAAUGAAAGGUUGGAUGAGAAAAUAACUGUCUCUAUUUAGAUUAAUUAGAAUUUUAUUUUUAAGUAAAAAAGCUUAAAUAAAAAUAGAAGACGAGAAGACCCUAUAGAGUUUUAAUUUAAUUGGGGUGAUUGAAAAAUUUAAUAAACUUUUUUUGUAUUUAAACAUUAAUUUAUGAAUAGUUGAUCCUUUUUUUAAGAUUAAAAGUAAAAAUUACCUUAGGGAUAACAGCGUAAUUUUUUUAGAGAGUUCAAAUCGAAAAAAAAGAUUGCGACCUCGAUGUUGGAUUAAAAUUAAGUCUUGGUGUAGAAGCUAA